rnacentral:rRNA from 1 species
GAUGAACGCUAGCUACAGGCUUAACACAUGCAAGUCGAGGGGAAACGAUAGAGAAAGCUUGCUUUUUCUAGGCGUCGACCGGCGCACGGGUGAGUAACGCGUAUCCAACCUGCCCAUCACUUGGGGAUAACCUUGCGACCGUAAGACUAAUACCCAAUGACGUCAAUAGAAGACAUCUGAAAGGGAUUAAAGAUUCAUCGGUGAUGGCUGGGGAUGCGUCUGAUUAGCUUGUUGGCGGGGUACCGGCCAAACAAGGAGACGAUAAGGAGGGUUUCUGAGAGGAAGGUCCCCCACAUUGGAACUGAGACACGAUCCAAACUCCUACGGGAGGCAGCAGUGAGGAAUAUUGGUCAAUGGGCGAGAGCCUGAACCAGCCAAGUAGCGUGCAGGAUGACGGCCCUAUGGGUUGUAAACUGCUUUUAUAAGGGAAUAAAGUGAGCCUCGUGAGGCUUUUUGCAUGUACCUUAUGAAUAAGGACCGGCUAAUUCCGUGCCAGCCGCCGCCGUAA